rnacentral:lncRNA from 1 species
AAAUUUCUCGUAAAGUCUUCAUUUUUCAGAUUUGCUGGUACAUUCCUCUUGAGCUGCCAACAACAAAGCCAAUGGAUACACCCCGUUAAUACUAUUUUUAUCGCCUUUAAUAUUGCUUUGUCACCAUUAGUAAUUACAGAUACGAGCAUCUGGUUUCCCAUAGUGGACAAGCAAGUUUGCAGCAACCUAUUUGUGAGCAAAGCAAAAUCGAAGACCAUAGUUCUAUGAUGAUGGCUUGUGCAGAUAAGUAUAAUGAGGAGUUUCUA